UCCUAUGUUGAAAUUUAAUCUUUUAGCAAGGUUGUGUAAACAUUAAGAUGCUUUUAUGAAAAUUGAAAUAAGAUGUAUUUUAUUACAUGUAGGUUAAAAUGAAAAUAUGCCAGCUCUUAAAUUAUCUCUCUUUGUUUUAGAUCACAGACAAAUAUGAAAAGAGGAAAAAGAACUUCAAAUGAAGUUGCGGAUACCUCGUCCAAAUGGAACUAUCCUGAUAAAGAAUCUGAAGUUGUAGGUGCAGGAAUUGAAAGAUUCUACCGAAGAUCAUCUAAUUUCUUAAUCAAAAAAUGCAUAGUGUAAGUAAUUCACGUUAUUAUCUCUUAAUUUUGAUAUUAAUUAAAGUAGAUAGAAAGAAAAGUGAUCUAAGCGAUUUUACUUUGUAUUCAUUUUUUGUAUUUAUUUUAAUCACAA